GAUGAACGCUGGCGGCGUGCCUAAUACAUGCAAGUCGAGCGAACGGACGAGAAGCUUGCUUUUCUGAUGUUAGCAGCGGACGGGUGAGUAACACGUGGAUAACCUACCUAUAAGACUGGGAUAACUUCGGGAAACCGGAGCUAAUACCGGAUAAUAUUUUGAACCGCAUGGUUCAAAAGUGAAAGACGGUCUUGCUGUCACUUAUAGAUGGAUCCGCGCUGCAUUAGCUAGUUGGUAAGGUAACGGCUUACCAAGGCAACGAUGCAUAGCCGACCUGAGAGGGUGAUCGGCCACACUGGAACUGAGACACGGUCCAGACUCUACGGGAGGCAGCAGUAGGGAAUCUUCCGCAAUGGGCGAAAGCCUGACGGAGCAACGCCGCGUGAGUGAUGAAGGUCUUCGGAUCGUAAAACUCUGUUAUUAGGGAAGAACAUAUGUGUAAGUAACUGUGCACAUCUUGACGGUACCUAAUCAGAAAGCCACGGCUAACUACGUG
rnacentral:rRNA from 1 species